UACGUAGGGUGCGAGCGUUGUCCGGAAUUAUUGGGCGUAAAGAGCUUGUAGGCGGUUUGUCGCGUCUGCCGUGAAAAUUCGAGGCUCAACCUCGAACUUGCGGUGGGUACGGGCAGACUAGAGUGCUGUAGGGGAGACUGGAAUUCCUGGUGUAGCGGUGAAAUGCGCAGAUAUCAGGAGGAACACCGGUGGCGAAGGCGGAUCUCUGGGCCAUUACUGACGCUGGAGGAGCGAAAGCGUGGGGAGCGAACAGG
rnacentral:rRNA from 1 species